rnacentral:rRNA from 1 species
AGCGAACGCUGGCGGCGUGCUUAACACAUGCAAGUCGAACGUGAAAUGUAGCAAUACAGAGUAAAGUGGCGUACGGGUGAGUAACACGUGGGUAAUCUACCAAAGAGCCUGGAAUAACCGACCGAAAGGUUGGCUAAUACUGGAUAGUUCAAAUGAAAUAUAAUGUCUCGAUUGGGAAAGGGAGCGAGCAAUCGCCUUCACUUUUUGAUGAGCCCGCGUCUGAUUAGCUAGUUGGUAGGGUAAUGGCCUACCAAGGCGACGAUCAGUAGCUGGGCUGAGAGGAUGAUCAGCCACACUGGAACUGAAACACGGUCCAGACUCCUACGGGAGGCAGCAGUGGGGAAUCUUGCGCAAUGGACGAAAGUCUGACGCAGCCACGCCGCGUGAGUGAAGAAGGCCUUCGGGUUGUAAAGCUCUGUCGGAAGGGACAAAAACGUUUAAGGUUAAUAGCCUUAGAUCUUGAUGGUACCUUCAAAGGAAGCACCGGCUAACUUCGUGCCAGCCGCCGCAGUAA